rnacentral:lncRNA from 1 species
UACUGCAUUCUUUUAUGCACAUUAAAUUUUGCAUGGGGUGCGACACCCAUCAAAAUUUUGGGGCCGCUGCCGGGGACCAACGGUUCAGUUUUAGGUCUUUUGUUGUGUUAGUGUGUGUUGUAAAUGUGAUGUUCUGUUUUGUGUGUUCGUCAUUGUGUGUUGCAUUUAGGUAGCUUUAGUUGCAUAUUUUCAUUGCAUUAUUCUUUUCCCCCUUCUUUCCUAUGUCUACCUAUUUUGGAUAUGUGGAUACUGUUUCUUCUGCCUGUGCCUAUCAUUAUGAUUCUCCUGUUGAUUUCUAUGUUGAGAACAAUAAGGUUCCUCCUCC